UACGGGGGGAGCAAGCGUUGUUCGGAUUUACUGGGCGUAAAGGGCGCGUAGGCGGCGCAACAAGUCACUUGUGAAAUCUCCGGGCUUAACUCGGAGCGGUCAAGUGAUACUGUCGGACUAGAGUGCAGAAGGGGCAACUGGAAUUCUCGGUGUAGCGGUGAAAUGCGUAGAUAUCGAGAGGAACACCUGCGGCGAAGGCGGGUUGCUGGGCUGACACUGACGCUGAGGCGCGAAAGCCAGGGGAGCGAACGGG
rnacentral:rRNA from 1 species